GUUGAUCCUGCCAGUAGUCAUAUGCUUGUUUCAAAGAUUAAGCCAUGCAAGUCUAAGUAUAAGCUAAAUUAUACGGCAAAACUGCGAAUAGCUCAUUACAACAGUUAUCAUUUACACGAAGAUCAGUACUAAAUGGAUAUCCAUGGUAAUUCUGGGGCUAAUACAUGCUAAAAAACCCGACUUUUCGGAAGGGUUGCAUUCAUUAGUUCUUGGAACCAACCAGCGGGAAACCGUGGUCUUUGGUGAUCAUAAUGACGGAGCGGAUCGCAUUCUUUGCGACAGUUCGUUCAAGUUUCUAGCCCAUCAGCU
rnacentral:rRNA from 1 species